rnacentral:lncRNA from 10 species
UGAACAAUUCAAGAAACUGGCCCAAAUUUUUAGUACCAAAGUAUUGUGAAAUUCUAAUGCUUUCACUUUUUCUUUCCUAUAAUGUUUAUUCUUCAAAAUACAAUGGAGGAAGAAUGAGGAUUUGCUCUGAAUCUGGAUGAUAUAAGAAGACAGAGCACCAGGAUAAAAGUCAGGAAAUAUGGAUGCCAGUCUCCAUUCCAAGGUCCUCCUGGGGAAACAGCAGGUCCAUAUUUCUGACUGUGCAGGAAUUGGAGGCCCACACCAAGCAGUGUGACAUACUUGAAUGACAAAAUAAUGGAGUGAUCCCAGGGACUCAGGAGUCAUGGCAGAGGAAUUUAUUGCUUAGCAACCCAGACAAAUGUCAAGAGUCUUACCAAAUGCAGAUGAUGCUCUGUGGAAGAGACCUGCUUCAAGUCAGGUCAAGUAAAAACAACCUUGCCAGCAAGAUCCAUCAGUGAGCAGUGCAACAGAAGUUUCAUAACAACGUAACUCCAGCAGGACACCUCCAUAUGAAUGGCUUUCCAUAGCACCAUACUGGGCAGAUUGCCAGCAAGUUCUACCAGCUUAGCACCACAGUGACUUCUCUGUCAUCUGGUGAGCCUAUGAUCGCCAAUAAAGGUCUGGAUCUCAGCCUGGGCUCUCUUCCUUGGAUCUAUGCUGAACCUAACUGGAAACUGGGUGGCAAGAGUUGAUACAGUCCACACAGGUCGGCCUCCUGGGCAGAGAUCAGAGUAGGACAGGAUGAAGAACACAUCUGGAGGGUCAAAGAGAAGCUAUGACACAGGAUCCUUAUUAAUCAAAGUGUGAUCCAUUGACCACCAUCAUCAGCAUCUGCUGGAGCCUAUUAGGAAUGCAGAAUACCAGGCCCCAUCACAGACCAGUUACUGAAUUGGAAUCUGCAUUGUAACAAACUUCUCAGAGCUCUCUCUCAGGACUAUUCUGGCUUCUCAGGAUCCAUUGCCCUUGCCCAGGAGAGAGAGCCUCGCUGGGACCCAGAAACCGCGAAAGAAGAUUCGACCUACCUGUGGAACCAGACACAACUUGGUCCCCAAAGGUCGCUUAGGCGACCCCACUGCAAACGGCAAGUCAACUUGUGCACUUAAAACGUAUCAGUUUAUGGAAUGCUUGUUUAAAGUCCUCAUUGGACAUGGUA